AUAACUGUUAGCACUGUCAUAUUGUUCACAAUAUGACAAUGCUAUGAUGUAAUAUAUGAUGACUUUAUAACCAAUGCAGCAGUUCAUCAGCAUAUCACUGACAUCAUAUAGCAUUGCUGCCUAUAACAAGUACAUAUAAGAGUAUGUCAGUGGAUAGUAUUGUCAAUCAUUCUGUGAAAAUCCUUUUUCAUAACCGGGAAGUAAAGUGUAGAAUUGCACAAGCCAAGAAAGCCUUCUAUAAGAAGAAACAAAUACUAAUAAUAAAGAAAAUUUCCUUAAAAAUUAGGAAAACAAUUUUAAAGAGCUAUGUUUGGAGUGUAAUUCUGUAUUACUGUAAGACUUGGACAUUAACCAUUAUAUCAAAAAAAAAAAAAAAAUUAGAAGCAUUUCAAAUGUGAUGUUACAGAAAAAUGAAUAAAAUGUGGUGAGUGAACAAGAUAGCAAAUAAAGCCUUAAGAAGAACAAAUAAAGAAAGAAGCUUUACCUCAAUUAAAGCCAUAUCCAAAAGAAAAGAUCAGAUGAUAGGACAUAAUCUUAUAUACCAACAUUUAAUGAAAACAAUAAUUGAGGGAAUAGUAGAUGACAAGAAUUACAGAGGGGAAACCUAAGCUGGAAUAUAUCAAGCAAAUAAUGAGAGAUAUAGAAUGCAACAUAUACCAGAAGAUGAAGAGACAAAGAAAAGAGAAGAAUGGAAAGAUGCUUCAAACUAAUCUGUAUUGAAUGGAAACUAAUGAUGACCAAUUUUUUAUGAUUUAAUAUUGUUUUUUUUAUUUAAUAUAAUUUUUAUUUGAUAUUUAUUUAAAUACUCA
rnacentral:lncRNA from 1 species